rnacentral:rRNA from 1 species
CCUACGGGGCGCAGCAGUGGGGAAUAUUGGACAAUGGGCGAAAGCCUGAUCCAGCCAUGCCGCGUGUGUGAAGAAGGCCUUCGGGUUGUGAAGCACUUUCAGUGGGGAAGAAAGCCUUGGGGCUAAUACCCUCGAGGAAGGACAUCACCCACAGAAGAAGCACCGGCUAACUCCGUGCCAGCAGCCGCGGUAAUACGGAGGGUGCGAGCGUUAAUCGGAAUUACUGGGCGUAAAGCGCGCGUAGGCGGUCUGAUAAGCCGGUUGUGAAAGCCCCGGGCUCAACCUGGGAACGGCAUCCGGAACUGUCAGGCUAGAGUGCAGGAGAGGAAGGUAGAAUUCCCGGUGUAGCGGUGAAAUGCGUAGAGAUCGGGAGGAAUACCAGUGGCGAAGGCGGCCUUCUGGACUGACACUGACGCUGAGGUGCGAAAGCGUGGGUAGCAAACAGGAUUAGAUACCCUUGUAGUC